rfam:Desertifilum sp. IPPAS B-1220 NODE_13_length_129956_cov_34.3488, whole genome shotgun sequence.
GACCUGGACCCAUGCGGUGAGGACGCCCAAAUCUUGUCAGGACCGGAAGGUAGCAGCAAUACGGGAUGCUCGUCACAGGCGUGGAAUCCGGGUCGCC